UACAGAGGCCCCAAGCGUUACUGAGAAUCACUGGGUUUAAAGGGUGCGUAGGUGGUCCGUUAAGUUCGUUGUGAAAGCCCUGGGCUCAACCCAGGAACUGCUUCGAAUACUGGCGGACUUGAGGCUAGUAGAGGUCACUGGAACUGACGGUGGAGCGGUGAAAUGCGUAGAUAUCGUCAGGAACGCCAAUGGUGAAGACAGGUGACUGGGCUAGUUCUGACACUGAGGCACGAAAGCGUGGGGAUCAAACGGG
rnacentral:rRNA from 1 species